rnacentral:rRNA from 1 species
GUGCCUAACGUCCGGUGUCAAGAGGGAAACAACCCAGACCGCCAGCUAAGGUCCAAAUGACGUGCUAAGUGGUAAACGAAGUGGGAAGGCAUAGACAGCCAGGAUGUUGGCUUAGAAGCAGCCAUCAUUUAAAGAAAGCGUAAUAGCUCACUGGUCGAGUCGUCCUGCGCGGAAGAUGUAACGGGGCUAAGCACGUAACCGAAGCUGCGGAUCUACAGUUUACUGUAGGUGGUAGGAGAGCGUUCUGUAAGCCUGUGAAGGUGUCUUGAGAAGGAUGCUGGAGGUAUCAGAAGUGCGAAUGCUGACAUGAGUAGCGAUAAACAAGGUGAAAGUCCUUGUCGCCGAAAACCCAAGGUUUCCUACGCAACGUUCAUCGGCGUAGGGUGAGUCGGCCCUAAGGCGAGGCAGAAAUGCGUAGUCGAUGGGAAACAGGUUAAUAUUCCUAGUACCGAUAUGGAAUGCGA